rnacentral:tRNA from 1 species
GGGAAUGUAGCUCAGUGGCACAGCACCUGCCUGGCAAGUGCAAGGCCCUGAGUUUGAUUCCCAGCACUCCCC